GCUGCCAGGCUGGUAGGAACCAGUUUGCCAAAGCUUAUUUUCUAAGAUACACAUCAUGGGUCACAGCUCAGAAAUAACCUCUCCCUUGUAACAUUUCUGCUUUUGUCUGUCAUUUCCCUUUCACCUAUCAAAUCUCACCAAACAGUGCUGCAUAGCUAUCUCCAUUGUUUCCUUAAACAAACCCCAGCUACAUUAAAGAGUUUGUGCAUGGAGACUUUGGGAGAACCAAGCCAAACAUUGGCUCUCUAAUGAAUGUGACUGCAGACAUUCUUGAGCUGGAUGUUGAGUCUGUAGAUGUUGACUGGCCCCCUGCUCUGGAUGACUAGCUUUCAAAUUUGGACACACAGAGUAGGGUUUUCGUGGCAUGAUGUGGACCUCCAUUCAGCAUACACUGUAUAAUGGCUGUUAACUCACCAUUACAGUGUCUUGGAAACCAUUUGGAUCAUGUUGAUCUAUGUAUUUUAAAAUUUGUUGUAACAUCUCAGGAUCUAUGUAUGUGUAUAUUUUGUGUUAAAUGUUCUAAGGAUGUCUUACGAUUUUUCUUGUUCCCUCUCCAACCCCUACAUGCCAGACUAUGAAUAAUGAAAACAUUCUCUUAAUUCUUUCAUUUAGAGAAGUACACAAACAGGAUACGUUCUCUGAUAAUCUGAGAAGCUAUAAUUUCUUUUAGCAAAAUUUCCCUCCACAAGACAUACCACCUUCAAAAUCAUGUUCUAAAUUUUAAAAAUGAUCUUGAUAAAAGUUAUAUCUAGAUUUAUACAGCACAGUAUCCUAUAAUAUUCUAAGAUAUCAAAUGCAAAUCUAACAUCAUUAAUAUUUUUCCCAGUAAGCUUUAAUCAAGCUAUUACCCACAGAAGUACUUUUUGUAUAAUCUGUCACAAAUCUUAAUGACUUCAAGUUACUAUUUUGAUGACUUAAAAAUAUCAGUAUGUUUCCUGGGGAGGGAAAGUGAAACCUUAGGAAUUGAGGCAUACCCUGUUAAGAGACUUCCAUAAAUCUUUUAAAUAAGGAGACACAAGUGCCUUCAGUAACUUCAAACCCAGGGAUAAGAUUUUGAAAAAUUAAGAUUGCUAAACAAUCUGCUAUUAUACCAGAGUGCUUCAAUAUAUUAUCCAAUUUCAAACAUCUUCAUCAAGUGGAUAGGGUAUUAUCAUUUCCAUUUUAUAAAUAUGAAACCAAAGAAUGAAAGUUAAAUGAUCUAAAAUUUUACUUCCAUAUCAGGGGCUAAAACUGAAGUUUCCUGGUCUCUAGGGUCCUUUUUUAAUAACUCUUGUUAUUGAGCACCCACUGUGUGAAGGAGGCACCUGAGAAUGUCAUUUAAAUGCACUAACCCAAAAAUAAUAAUAAUUAAAAUAAACAAAUGCACUAACCAUCAGAAAUGACUUUUGGAAUUUAGAAACCAAAUCAAGGAGCUUGCCAAAAAAUAGCCCAAGUAUAUUUCAUAUGAUCUUACAUGAUUACCACUUGUUAAUAAAUUAAUCAUCAGUUGGUACUAUGAAGAAGGAAAAAUGAAAUAAGCUAAACCUAAAGAAAAUAGAUGGGUCAUUAAGAGAAACGUUUCAGCAAUCUCAUUAAAAUUUCAGAUUUAAGUAGUAAUUUCUAUCACCCUGAUUCAACUAUCUGAGAGCUUAUUUUAGAACACAUGUGACUUGGAUAGUAUUGGAUGAUUGUUUCCCAUCUCUUCAUUAAGCAUACUUCAUAGAUACCAAGAUGUAUUAUUCAUUUUAGAAAUCAGGAAAAUUAUUUAAUUGACAUGAAGAAGUUUCAUAUGUGAAUACUAGCAAAUAAUUGUUUCACUAUUUUCAAUGCCAGAAAAUAAGAAAGGGAUAAUAGAAAUAAACUUCUGAUAAACAGGUAAGAA